GUCGAGCGGACAGAAGGGAGCUUGCUCCCGGAUGUUAGCGGCGGACGGGUGAGUAACACGUGGGUAACCUGCCUGUAAGACUGGGAUAACUCCGGGAAACCGGAGCUAAUACCGGAUAGUUCCUUGAACCGCAUGGUUCAAGGAUGAAAGACGGUUUCGGCUGUCACUUACAGAUGGACCCGCGGCGCAUUAGCUAGUUGGUGAGGUAAUGGCUCACCAAGGCGACGAUGCGUAGCCGACCUGAGAGGGUGAUCGGCCACACUGGGACUGAGACACGGCCCAGACUCCUACGGGAGGCAGCAGUAGGGAAUCUUCCGCAAUGGACGAAAGUCUGACGGAGCAACGCCGCGUGAGUGAUGAAGGUUUUCGGAUCGUAAAGCUCUGUUGUUAGGGAAGAACAAGUGCGAGAGUAACUGCUCGCACCUUGACGGUACCUAACCAGAAAGCCACGGCUAACUACGUGCCAGCAGCCGCGGUAAUACGUAGGUGGCAAGCGUUGUCCGGAAUUAUUGGGCGUAAAGGGCUCGCAGGCGGUUUCUUAAGUCUGAUGUGAAAGCCCCCGGCUCAACCGGGGAGGGUCAUUGGAAACUGGGAAACUUGAGUGCAGAAGAGGAGAGUGGAAUUCCACGUGUAGCGGUGAAAUGCGUAGAGAUGUGGAGGAACACCAGUGGCGAAGGCGACUCUCUGGUCUGUAACUGACGCUGAGGAGCGA
rnacentral:rRNA from 1 species